UUUAUAGUAAAUUAAUAAUGGCAGCAGUUGGCAAACUCCGCGAACUUUUCGAAAUCUAUUUUUUUUUAUCUGAUAUUUAUCCGUCAAAUAUAAAUAAUAAAAUAUCUUCAUAAGAUUUUUGUAUUAUUUUGGCUGAGAUUCAGAAAUUAUGAUAAUUCUGUCAAGUUGUCACUAGUCUUUCCAAAAGAAGUUGAAAAUGUGACUGCAAGGAAGACUAGGUUUGUGGCUAUUUCAUUGAGAUUCAUGAUAGUUUGAGCAAUGUCUUUGUAUACCUGAAAUUCAGGAAUUUGGUAACAAAACUAGAGAAAUAACUAAGUUAGAUGGCUCAAAGACUUGGAACACAACUACCUAAUAUUCUGUCAAAUUGGGGAUUGGGUGCAUACUGAAAUUAUGGGUGGUAUCUUUAUGAGGAUGAAGAAGAAUUAGAUGAUUCAUCAGGAAAAUUAACCAAAGCCAAGCUCAUUGGCUUUUGGAGACCAAAGUACAAAAAUGAAACUAAGAUGCCAGAUAGAACAGUUGGAAGAUUAGAAAAACUCUAGCUGGAAACAGAAUUAAUGUAAGAUUAGCCACAAGAAUGGAGAAUACAUAAAUGAAAUUUUAAGUAUUCCACAAUAUUUUAACUUAUUUGAAUUCAUCUUUACAAACAUAGAACACUUUUCACGUUAAGAAAAAAUGCUAACUCUUAGAACUCUUGAAGGUUCAGCAGAACAUCAUUUUAGAACCGCUGUACUCUGUCAUUGGUGCGUGACCUUUUUUUCCCCUCCUAAUCACUGUCCACUUUACUCAUCAAAAUAUUUUUAGCGUCCCCUAUAAAAUAAUAAUUAUUUUAUUUGUGCCAUUUUUAGAAUUUAUUUUGUUGUUAUACAUCUGUUAUAAUGCCUUGUUAUUGAAAAUACACCUAACACCUACUGUUAUAUCGGAAACUUUUAUUA